rnacentral:rRNA from 1 species
AUUGAACGCUGGCGGCAUGCUUUACACAUGCAAGUCGAACGGCAGCGGGGAGGAGCUUGCUUCUCUGCCGGCGAGUGGCGACCGGGUGAGUAAUACAUCGGAACGUGUCGAGAAGAGGGGGAUAACCACCCGAAAGGGUGGCUAAUACCGCAUAAAUUCUGAGGAAGAAAGCUGGGGACCUAGGAAUAGGCCUAGCGCUUUUUGAGCGGCCGAUGUCGGAUUAGCUAGUUGGUGAGGUAAAGGCUCACCAAGGCGAAGAUCUGUAGCGGGUCUGAGAGGAUGAUCCGCCACACUGGGACUGAGACACGGCCCAGACUCCUACGGGAGGCAGCAGUGGGGAAUUUUGGACAAUGGGGGCAACCCUGAUCCAGCCAUGCCGCGUGUAUGAAGAAGGCCUUAGGGUUGUAAAGUACUUUUGUUAGGGAAGAAAAGUCAGCUGUGAAUAAUGGCUGAUACUGACGGUACCUAAAGAAUAAGCACCGGCUAACUACGUG